GACGAACGCUGGCGGCGUGCUUAACACAUGCAAGUCGAACGGAAAGGCCCUGCUUUUGUGGGGUGCUCGAGUGGCGAACGGGUGAGUAACACGUGAGUAACCUGCCCUUGACUUUGGGAUAACUUCAGGAAACUGGGGCUAAUACCGGAUAGGAGCUCCUGCUGCAUGGUGGGGGUUGGAAAGUUUCGGCGGUUGGGGAUGGACUCGCGGCUUAUCAGCUUGUUGGUGGGGUAGUGGCUUACCAAGGCUUUGACGGGUAGCCGGCCUGUGAGGGUGGCCGGCCACAUUGGGACUGAGAUACGGCCCAGACUCCUACGGGAGGCAGCAGUGGGGAAUAUUGCACAAUGGGCGGAAGCCUGAUGCAGCAACGCCGCGUGCGGGAUGACGGCCUUCGGGUUGUAAACCGCUUUCGCCUGUGACGAAGCGUGAGUGACGGUAAUGGGUAAAGAAGCACCGGCUAACUACGUG
rnacentral:rRNA from 1 species